rnacentral:rRNA from 1 species
UACGUAGGGUGCAAGCGUUUGUUCGGAAUUACUGGGCGUAAAGCGCACGCAGGCGGAUUGGUAAGUCGGGGGUGAAAUCCCGGGGCUCAACCUCGGAAUUGCCUUCGAUACUGGGAGUCUUGAGUUCGGAAGAGGUUGGUGGAACUGCGAGUGUAGAGGUGAAAUUCGUAGAUAUUCGCAAGAACACCAGUGGCGAAGGCGGCCAACUGGUCCGAUACUGACGCUGAGGCGCGAAAGCGUGGGGAGCAAACAGGG